GUUAAAUUUCAUGAAGCCUUCCACCCCCCUCGUGAGUACACCUACGUCAGCGAGUACUAUGAGCUGUAUUUUAUUAGGAAAAAAAAAUAAAAAAUUAGGGAUCUCUGCGGAUAACUGCGAUAAUUAGGAUUUUAGGUAUUUUUGGCACGAAUAUCUAAUUGUUUAUUUAUGGGUUAUCUUAGUGACAUAGAUGACAAUUGGGUGCCACUUGCCACGGACAAGCAAACUAUUAUUAUUUUUAUUAUUAGGUAUUAUUGUUUACAUUAUUAUCUAACAAUAGAAAAGCAAUCCGACAUAAUCGAAAAUAAAUUUGAAAAAGGUUUUUUUCAAAAAAAAAGCUAAUAUUAGGGAUGGGUGUGCUAUUGUUGUAGAUUAGAAGCGAG